ACUCUGGCGGCGGGCGAAGACCUCCUUCACUUUUUACCCCCCUCCUUUCCCAGUUCCUUGUUCGCUUCUCGGGGGGGCGGCGGGGGGCCGUCUGGUGACCCUGUAGGUCGGGCUUGGAGGGCGCCGGGUCUGCGGCAACAGAGUGCCCUCCUCUGGGCGCUGGGCGGCCUGCUGCCUCCGAGGCCCGGGCGGCCUCCGCGGUCUCCAUGGUAACGGCCGCGCUGGCUUCUCCGCCUCGGGGGGAAGAUGCGGCCUGCGGGGCCGGCCGUCUCGCCCCCUGCCUCAUCGCGGGGCCGGGGCCACUGAGGAGGAAGGUCCCGGCCACCGGACUGCGGGGCAGCGGGCACCAGUGAAAUCCCAUUCCCUGUCUGGAGACACAGAUGGCCUCAAAUGAGAGAGAUGCUAUAUCGUGGUACCAAAAGAAGAUUGGAGCAUAUGAUCAGCAGAUCUGGGAAAAGUCAAUCGAACAGACUCAGAUUAAGGGCUUCAAAAACAAACCAAAAAAGAUGGGCCACAUAAAACCAGACUUGAUUGACGUUGACUUAAUCAGAGGCUCAACAUUUGCCAAAGCCAAACCUGAAAUUCCAUGGACAUCUCUGACUCGGAAGGGGCUUGUACGAGUUGUGUUUUUCCCCUUGUUCAGCAACUGGUGGAUUCAGGUGACCUCUUUAAGAAUCUUUGUUUGGCUGCUACUGCUUUACCUCAUGCAAGUUCUAGCACUCGUGUUGUAUUUUAUGAUGCCUAUUGUGAAUGUAAGUGAAGUGCUUGGACCCUUGUGCCUUAUGUUACUCAUGGGAACUGUCCACUGUCAGAUCGUGUCUACUCAGAUAACAAGGCCAUCGGGAAACAAUGGAAAUCGGAGAAGAAGAAAAUUACGGAAAACUGUCAAUGGUGAUGGGAGCCGAGAAAAUGGAAAUAACUCCUCUGAUAAAGUCAGAGGAGUGGAAACUUUGGAGUCUAUUCCCUUUAUUGGCAGUUUUUGGGAGACUCUCUUUGGGAACAGGAGUAAAAGAGUAAAACUAAUCAGUAACAAAGGGACUGAAACGGACAAUGACUCAAGUUGUCUGCAUCCUAUCAUUAAGAAGAGACAGUGUCGACCAGAGACUAAAAUGUGGCAAACAAGAGAGAAAGCAAAAUUUUCAGAUGGAGAGAAGUGCCACAGGGAGGCUUUCAGGCGACUGGGGAAUGGGAUUUCGGAUGAUCUGUCCAGUGAGGAGGACGGUGAAGCCCGGACACAGAUGAUGAUGCUACGUAGAAGUGUGGAAGGGGCCUCAAGUGACAACGGCUGUGAAGUGAAGAAUAGAAAAUCCAUACUUACCAGGCACCUCAACACUCAGGUAAAGAAAAGCACUCCCAAGUGGUGUCACACAGCUCGGGAUUCGGAUAGUCUGGCAGAAUCAGAAUUUGAAUCGGCAGCCUUCAGUCAGGGCUCAAGGUCGGGCAUGAGUGGUGGCUCCCGAAGCCUCCACAUGUCGAGAAGAGACUCAGAAAGCACCCGCCAUGACUCGGAGACUGAGGAUAUGCUAUGGGACGACCUGCUGCAUGGCCCAGAGUGUCGAUCGUCUGUCACCAGUGACAGUGAGGGGGCCCAUGUGAAUACCCUUCACUCAGGGACCAAACGUGACCCCAAAGAAGAUGUUUUUCAGCAGAACCACUUAUUCUGGCUUCAGAACUCAAGUCCUGCCUCUGAUCGAGUUAGUGCAAUAAUCUGGGAAGGGAAUGAGUGCAAAAAGAUGGAUAUGUCUGUGUUGGAAAUAAGUGGCAUCAUCAUGAGCAGGGUGAAUGCAUAUCAGCAAGGAGUAGGUUAUCAGAUGCUGGGAAAUGUCGUCACCAUUGGACUAGCAUUUUUUCCUUUUUUACAUCGACUUUUCCGUGACAAGAGCCUUGACCAGCUAAAGUCCAUUUCAGCUGAGGAGAUCAUGACUCUUUUUUGUGGGGCACCACCUGUUACACCUAUCAUUAUUUUGUCUAUGAUUAAUUUUUUUGAACGAUUGUGUCUUACUUGGAUUUUUUUUUUCAUGAUGUGUGUGGCAGAGAGAACGUAUAAACAGAGAUUUUUAUUUGCAAAACUCUUCAGCCAUAUUACCUCUGCCAGGAAAGCUAGGAAAUACGAAAUACCUCAUUUCAGACUUAAAAAAGUGGAGAACAUUAAGAUAUGGUUAUCACUGCGUUCCUUUCUAAAGAGACGGGGUCCGCAGCGUUCAGUUGAUGUGGUUGUAUCUUCGGUCUUCUUGCUGACACUUUCCAUUGCUUUCAUUUGCUGUGCCCAGGUUCUCCAAGGGCAUAAAACUUUCCUGAAUGAUGCUUAUAAUUGGGAAUUUUUGAUCUGGGAAACAGCUUUACUACUUUUCUUGCUGCGUCUUGCUUCACUGGGGUCUGAAACCAAUAAGAAAUACAGCAAUGUUUCAAUAUUACUUACUGAGCAGAUUAAUUUAUAUCUUAAGAUGGAGAAAAAGCCGAAUAAGAAAGAACAGCUUACUCUAGUAAAUAAUGUAUUAAAGCUGUCUACCAAGUUAUUGAAAGAGUUGGACACACCAUUUAGACUCUAUGGACUGACGAUGAAUCCCUUAAUCUACAAUAUCACACGAGUCGUUAUCCUUUCUGCUGUCUCAGGUGUUAUAAGUGAUCUUCUAGGAUUUAAUAUAAGAGUUAAUGCUGGCCUUAUAGAAUGAAUUUGGAAGCAUUCCUUCUUCUUCAACUUUUUUGGAAGAGUUGGAGGUGAUUGGUGUCCAUCUUGAAUAAGGAAGUUUGAAUUUCACAAAUGUGCAAUAAUUCCAUACCUUCCCUGCAGCAUGCCUGAGCGUAUAAGUUGUAAUAAGGUAUUACUCAAAGUAACAAAUGAUUGUUUAUUAAGGACAAAAUAAGCCUCUAGAUUUGUGUAUUUGCUAAUAAUAGUUCUGCUUGGCUUUACUGCAAACACUGUGAAACAGACAAAUUCCCAAAGGAUUCUCUGUCAAAAUCAUAGGUUUAGACUAAGUUAAAGCACUUGGCUAUGUUUUCAUAUUUUUAGUGUAGAUGAGAAAGAUUCAGAGUUCUCUAGUGGCUAGAAUCACGCUCUUCCCAUGAGGCGGUCUUGCAUAGCAACAAUGAAGACCGAUCCAAGUUAGUGGCUCUCUUAAACUAAUUCAGUUAACUAAAGCAGAGAUUACGGAUUUCAUGUAAUAAUUAUGGCAUGCUUAAACAAGUCGUUGUACUGAUGAUGAACCUUGAGAGCAGGACCAGUCAAGAGCUGCCUGAAUAAAUCAGCCUGUUAUGUUUAACACACGCAGAUAGUUCUCAGGCAUUGGAGCAUGCCACAAUGAUGUAAAAAGUUGCUCUGAUAUAGUCUUCAUUCUAGAGCGAAACGUCACAUUUUGUGCAAAAGUCUGUUUUUAUACCAGUUACCAGUGUUCUGCAGGAGCAGCCUAUGGACCGAGCUUCAGCUUAAACACAUCUUUGUAGAGGUCAUUAGAUUGUUACACAGUUUAAAUAAUUUGAAGAGUCCUUGCUUUUCUAAACCACACUCUUUGAAUGUCGGACAUACUAUGAAAUUCUUCAUUUGUGCAUGUGUUUAAAAGCAUCUGGCUUUUCCUACGUGGGAAUAUCUAUUUAAAGGGAAAACCCAAGAUAUUUUCAUGUAGAAAUAAAAAGCCAAAUGCUUUUGCGUCUGAGACUUCUUGGUUUAUACAGUUUGAUGUAACUAGGAUCUCGGUGUCUCACUGGUAGCAAGACAAUGCACUAGCAUCCCAGGACUCCAUGAGAAGACAGGUCCAUCCAAACUAUUUUGGUGCCACUUCCUACAGCCUUUGCCAUGGCGCGCAGCUCCACUGUGGGGCUCGGGUUUCACUUUUAGUGUGAGUUCAUGCAAUGGUAGGACUUUGUGUUUACCUGCAAGAGUAAAAUAACCAUGGGCGUGAAAUAGGUUUUGGCCGUCAAUCACACCAAAAAUUAAAUGAAACCCAAGUCAAAACACUUCAUUCUGAAAGUAAGUGUAACCUGUAGUAAAUGAAAUGACUUACUGCUGAAAUGCUACAGUCUGAUGAAAAAUUUUCGUGACCUUACGGUAAACUGGACUUACACUACUCUAUCCAUUAGCAAGGUCUACUCGCUGAACUUCCCAUAGGACAAGUCCUUUUCUCUCCGACAGGGUAGGAAAGAUUUUGGAGGGGUAGCAAAUUAUUUAUGCAAAGCUAUUUUCUUUACAAUGAACAGGCAUAAUGAUAAUUUCAAGGUUUACAUACAGAUAGAAGGAAAAGUCAUCAUUCUGAGUCUUCCUGAUUGUAGGAUUUUGAACAUUCCUCACUUGGAGGAACAAAAUCUCUUUGAGGACUCAGACUGUGAUAGCAAUUAGCCCCGUAAAGGGAAAGCAACAUUAAAUAAGCCUGACAGACAAAGAAAUGCAGGCCAUAAACAGAUUUUUGUUUUUGUUUUUAAUAUCUAUAUAAAAAAUAACGAGCAAUUUACAGAUCUCUUUCUCUAAUCAGAACCUCAGAUGUAUAUAUAAAGGUACUGUACAAUAUAUAAACAUUUACAACCAGUACAUCCAUAUUUUGCUUAGCAUUCCAAGGCCACAUUGCUAAGUCGGUAUAUAAUCAGUACAGUGACGGGUUACUUAGAAAGAAAAGAGCCACAUCAGACUGACAACAUAUGACAUCAAAGUUAUGUCACAGUUAACAAUAAAAAUAGGAUUUUUAUCACUAAUUGUGGACUAUAGGGAAAAUAAAUCAUUUCUGUGGUGCUAAAUUCUUAGCAUGGAUCAAGUCUCCUAAUUUUUCUCUAUUCAAGUAGUUACAAGAGGUGGGUAAAUAUAGUUCUGGAUGAAAGGGGAUUUCAGAAAUCUCACUCUGGGAAGGCAUGUCUCAGUUACAAGGGCGGCUUCAGUUGGUACAUUAAAGACUUUCACAGUCGGACUGUGAGAGGACAGGGCCUGGACGUACCAUGUUUCACAAGAACAAGAUGAACCCGGGUGAUGGAACAGGUAUGUUCGAAUACUCCAUAAAAUGGUUGUGUUCUGAGAUCGGUCCUUUAUUCAUUGCUGCUACCGAAUGGUGCUUCUGGGGCCUGAAAAUCCUCGAUCUCUUUUAUGGAGCUAAAAACGGUCUCUACCUCCCAACAAACAUCUUUACUUAGACUUUUAAAAAGAAUUCUGAAAAUGUACAAACUAAGCAGAUGUCUAGUCUCCCUUUCUUGUUUUUUAAAUAAGUCACUGUAGCUAGAAAUUAAAACGAAAUCAGAUCUAGCAAGGGCUGUCUACUGCCACGUCUGUCCUCUUGCUGAGCAGGUCUGAACGCAGGUUCCGCUUCGAAACACCUGAGCUUGGACAGCUGCUGCCGGAGGCCCGGUCUGUAUCUGUGAAACUGCUUGCUGCUCGAGGCCCUCACAAUCCGUACCAUGUUUUGACUCUUCACGUACGCACUAUGUAGUAACGACUAACGAAUGAGUAGUAGGAGGUCCAACCCAAAUAUCCAGAAAUAGAAACCUGGCAGUUUUUCUCUGAACAGCAGUAAGCAGUAUUUCCACAUGCUUCUUUCUGGUUUUGUAACGAAAUAAACUGAAGGAAAAGGGUGACCUGAGAUGCUACGACCACAUCAGGGUUGGAUAAUACAGCAGGAGAGGAACUCUUCAUUGCCUAAAGCACUAGCUCAUUUUAAACAUCUAAUUGUAAGUAAUAUCUUUAAGUUACUUGAAAUACCUGAUCCAGCCGAAUUAAAAACCCAAAGAGAGUGUCGCUUUCUGACUCCAUUUUGUUUUUCUUUUCAGUAGUGAUGUUUUGGAGUUUCAUUUUUAAGCUGGGCCUGGGCCAUCACCAGUAGCUGGUAGAAAAGGCAACUGCCAUGUUUAAUGAUGAGUUAACAGUUCCUUCUUCUGCAAGGACUCAAAUGUGUCUCUCUGUAAACAUGCAGCAUGCUAUUGAGAAUAUCAACUUCCAAGCCAAACCUAGUUUUUUCAUUCCUGUGGAAAUAGCUGAGUGAGACGGAUAAAAGAGACAUGGAACAGUAGAUAACUUGGCACAGGUAUCAAGUCACAGUCGUUUCUCAGUCACACCUGUAGUGCCUGCGGCUUUGUGUGCACUUGGAACCUUCCAGGGCCCCGGAGUUAUGGGUGUUUUCUUAACGGGAGAAGCACUCUCAGGCACACCAUCUUUUAAUUCCUCUGUCUUUUCAUAUAUCUGACCUCUCAUCAAAGAUUCUUCAAUUACUGGUGCGGGAAACUCCUCAAAUACGGAAGCAGAAUGGAAAGAUGGGGGAAAUGGCUGCUCGUCAUAAAUCACAUUUGAAGAUGAAGGAGUAUUAACAUCCCAAUCACCUGCAAAGAGGGAUUUGAGUGGGACAUUAUUACAUUUUAGAAUUAUAAAGAGGAACUGUAAGUUGUGAACUCUGACAGCUCUUUGAAUUGGACUAACUGCUCAAAUAGUCUGAGUAUAUACGCUGAGCGCGCCUGAUAAAGGCGGGCCGUAUACACAGACAAGCACACAGACAGCUGCGCUUGUACACGAGGUGGUUGUACUCGUAGGCUGUUUAAAUACACACAGAGUAACAGUCAUUCUUCCAAUAAUUUAUGUAUAAUUCGUGAUACAAAGAAUUUAUACAUCGUAUAUGGUAAGUAGUAACGCUCAAUAAAAAACUUAGAAGAAAUAAUAAAAUCAAACCAAAUUACUUGGUUCAGGAAGCUUACUAAUUUGGCUGUUAUCAAAGGAUACAGCUUAUAGCUACGCCAAAAUCACUAGUAAAGGAGACCCAACUGUGGUAGCCAGAACGAGGUUUCGUGGGCAUUUGUCAAUAAUUUUCUUGCAUUAAGCUGUCAAAUUUAAUGUCAAAAGAGAACUGAAAAGUGCAGAAGAUAGAAAGAUGUAUUUAACAGCAUUUUUAAUUAAACAGAAAAAAAAGAAGGAAGUGAUUUACAAGACAUGCAAAUUUACCAAGUCUUUUUAAGGAAAGACCAAGAAAAGCCCUGAAAGCCUUAAUGUUGCUCAGGUUUCACGUAGGAGCACAGACCGGAAGGAGCCAAACCUGAAGAAGGAAGAGAAAAAGCCUAGGACUAUGUAAAAAAAAAAAAAAAA